rnacentral:rRNA from 1 species
GACGUAGGGGGCCAGCGUUGUUCGGAAUUACUGGGGGUAAAGGGUUCGUAGGCGGUGUGGCAAGUCGGGAGUGAAAUCUCUGGGCUCAACUCAGAGACUGCUUCCGAAACUGCUGUGCUGGAGUGUGGGAGAGGCGCGUGGAAUUGCAGGUGUAGCGGUGAAAUGCGUAGAUAUCUGGAGGAAUACCAGAGGCGAAGGCGGCUUGCUGGGGUGGCAUUGACGCUCAGACACGAAAGCAUGGGGAGCGAACGGG